rnacentral:rRNA from 1 species
UACGAAGGGGGCUAGCGUUGCUCGGAAUCACUGGGCGUAAAGCGCACGUAGGCGGCUUCUUAAGUCAGGGGUGAAAUCCUGGAGCUCAACUCCAGAACUGCCUUUGAUACUGAGGAGCUCGAGUCCGGGAGAGGUGAGUGGAACUCCGAGUGUAGAGGUGAAAUGCGUAGAUAUUGGGAGGAACACCAGUGGCGAAGGCGGCUCACUGGACCGGUACUGACGCUGAGGCGCGAAAGCGUGGGGAGCAAACGGG